GGCCGGUUAGCUCAGUCGGUUAGAGUAUGGUGCUAACAACACCAAGGUCACGGGUUCGAUCCCCAUUCGGUCC
rnacentral:tRNA from 1 species